UACGUAGGGGGCUAGCGUUGUCCGGAAUCAUUGGGCGUAAAGCGCGUGUAGGCGGUUCGGUAAGUCCGCUGUGAAAGUCGGGGGGCUCAACCCUCGAAUGCCGGUGGAUACUGUCGGACUAGAGUACGGAAGAGGCGAGUGGAAUUCCUGGUGUAGCGGUGAAAUGCGCAGAUAUCAGGAAGAACACCCGUGGCGAAGGCGGCUUUCUGGGACGGUACUGACGCUGAGACGCGAAAGCGUGGGGAGCGAACAGG
rnacentral:rRNA from 1 species